GACGAACGCGGCGGCGUGCCUAAUACAUGCAAGUCGAACGAGAGCGACCGGUGCUUGCACUGGUCAAUCUAGUGGCGAACGGGUGAGUAACACGUGGGUAACCUGCCCAUCAGAGGGGGAUAACAUUCGGAAACGGAUGCUAAAACCGCAUAGGUUCUACAGUCGCAUGACUGAAGAAGGAAAAGAGGCUUCGGCUUCUGCUGAUGGAUGGACCCGCGGUGCAUAGCUAGUUGGUGAGGUAACGGCUCACCAAGGCCGUGAUGCAUAGCCGACCUGAGAGGGUGAUCGGCCACAUUGGGACUGAGACACGGCCCAAACUCCUACGGGAGGCAGCAGUAGGGAAUCUUCCGCAAUGGACGCAAGUCUGACGGAGCAACGCCGCGUGAGUGAAGAAGGAUUUCGGUUCGUAAAACUCUGUUGUUAGAGAAGAACAGCGCAUAGAGUAACUGUUAUGCGUGUGACGGA
rnacentral:rRNA from 1 species